rnacentral:lncRNA from 10 species
CUUUUUUCGCAGGAGCUGCCCUACACUUUGCACAGACCUGGGCUCUUCCCAGAUUACCUCAUCAACAUCUUUACAAGCCAACUCAGAGAGUGCAGCAACCCUGUAGAUGGACUGCUUCACCCAGUGCUGCUGGUUCUUAUGGCUGUCACUCCCAAUGGGUAGUUUUAUUGCCAAAUUCCAUCAUAAGCAGUACUACCCAUACCCUGACCAAAGAAGGAAAGGGGAAUUAACACGACCACCUGCCUACUGAAUGCCAGGCGCUGUGCUAAAUGUGAGACUUUGAUGUCUUCAAAGCAAGGCGAGUGAGUGGCACUCUUCAGACAAGAAGGAAGAUGGCAGGUGAAAUCAUCUUCUUCUAAUGAGCCCUGUGCUAUGCUUGCUGAUGUCCUUGGUCACGGAGAUUUUCAGAAAAGCCAUGGCCUUACCAGUGAAGGUUACACAGAGGCCACUGGAGUCAAGUAAUUCAUUGCUCCUUAUUACAUUUAGGCACUUCUUUAUCCAUCAUGCAGGCUAUUGGGAUUAAAAUGGGUCCUUUCAACAAUGAGUCAAUAUUGAAGAUUCUGUGGAUCCAUUUAUUGACACAUAUUGGGUAUUCUCUGGACACAUUCCUUAACUUCAAAACUGUUUCUUGGACAUUGUGCUAGGUGCUAAGGAAACACAAAUGGAAGGUCCAGUCUAAUUCCCCUCCCCAGGAAGAGGGAUGAGCCUUUGUGGCUGCCUCCAUAAAUGAAAAUGCGAUGGAAAGGAUGCUGCACGACUUAUGAGGCUAAGUCAUAAGAAGAACUAAAGCUUCUACCCAUUUCCACUUCCUUUUGGGAAACGUGUCUUGGGAGCCCUGAGCCAAUAUGUAAGAAGUCCAGCUAUGUAUAGCCACCAUGCUGCAGAAACCACACAGAGAUAAAGAUUCGUGAGGAGUCUCCCCAUUUCCAGUUCCCAGCUGCUUGAGUCCUCCCACCUCCCAGAAUGAACUGUCAGACAUGUGAGUAGAAAUGACUCCAGACCCAGCCUUCAAGCUGUUGUCCCAGCUGACACCAAGUAGAGCAAAGGAGUUGUCUCCAUCAGUCUAGCUCAUAUUGCAGAUUUGUGAGAAAAAAACAAAUGUUGCUGCGUUAAGCCAGUAAAUGCUAGGAUAAUUUGUUAUAUGACAAUGACAAGAGUAACCAGGACACCACCCUUGUGUUAUCAUUACGUUCUCCCCUUGCUUCUUGUGAUGCCCUUGCUUUUCUUCUCUACCAGUUGCUGAGAAUUAGAGGAAGACCUUUGCUCCCACCAAUGUCAACAUUUCUUUACCAGAAAACACAGAGGCAUUUAACUCAUAUUUCGAAGACUUACAGCUUCUUAUAAUGGCCCUGGUGGUUAUACUUUUUGUUCUACUGACUCUAUUUUGUUACAGUUACUCUGCCCACAAAGUGCAAGACCCUUUGUGAUUAUGUUGGGGGACAUCAAUUCAAAUGACACCGUGAUAGCAUUACUGUCAAAUCAUGCUUCCCUCUCAAUGCUGUUGAUGAAGCUGGUGUACCCCAACCCUGUUCUUACAGGUUAAGUUGCUUUUUCCCACUUGAAACAUUGUACAACAGCCAAAAGCUUAUCUGGUCAGUUUUAAUGCGUCCUGCCCCUUCCUAGGACUUAUUGCAAUGACAAACAUAUAAGAGCUGUGAAAACUCUGUGACUUACACACAGUAGGCACCUGGUGUUUUAAGUGCUCUUCCUGAAAUGCUCACUGACAAUAAAACUAUUGAACAGAUCAGGACUGAAAACAUAGCUUUGUUUUGUGCCAGCAAAGACUCUCUUCUCUCCUUUACAGGUUGACAUUGAGCCAUUAAUCAACAGUAUGUUCAACAGUAACUAGUGAGUUAUGAAUCCAACUAUGUGCCUCUAUUU